rnacentral:rRNA from 1 species
GACGAACGCUGGCGGCAUGCUUAACACAUGCAAGUCGAACGGAAGGACCCUGCUUUUGUUUGGUUCUCGAGUGGCGCAGGGGUGAGUAACACAUGAAUAACCUGCCCUUGACUUUAUGAUAACUUCAAGAGACUGGGGCUAAUACCGGAUAUGAGCUCCUGCAGCAUGGGGGGGUUUGGAAAAUUUCGGCGGUGGGGGAUGGACUCGCGGCUUAUCAGCUUGUUGGUGGGGUAGUGGCUUACCAAGGCUUUGACGGGUAGCCGGCCUGAGAGGGUGACCGGACACAUGGGGACUGAGAUACGGCACAGACUCCUACGGGAGGCAGCAGUGGGGAAUAUUGCACAAUGGGCGGAAGCCUGAUGCAGCAACGCCGCGUGCGGGAUGACGGCCUUCGGGUUGUAAACCGCUUUCGCCUGUGACGAAGCGUGAGUGACGGUAAUGGGUAAAGAAGCACCGGCUAACUACGUG